rnacentral:rRNA from 1 species
UACGUAGGGUGCGAGCGUUAAUCGGAAUUACUGGGCGUAAAGCGUGCGCAGGCGGUUUUGCAAGCCGGAUGUGAAAUCCCCGGGCUCAACCUGGGAAUGGCAUUCGGGACUGCAAGGCUGGAGUGCGGCAGAGGAGACUGGAAUUCCUGGUGUAGCAGUGAAAUGCGUAGAUAUCGGGAGGAACACCAGUGGCGAAGGCGAUCACCUGGGGUUGUUCUGACGCUGAGGAGCGAAAGCUAGGGGAGCAAACGGGG